rnacentral:rRNA from 1 species
AAUAUUGGACAAUGGGCGAAAGCCUGAUCCAGCCAUGCCGCGUGUGUGAAGAAGGNCUNNGGAUUNUNAAGCACUUUAAGUUGNNNNNAAGGGGUUGAAGCUAAUACCUUCAAUCUUUGACGAUACCAACAGAAUAAGCACCGGCUAACUCUCUGCCAGCAGCCGCGGUAAUACGAAGGGUGCAAGCGUUAAUCGGAAUUACUGGGCGUAAAGCGCGCGUAGGUGGUUCGUUAAGUUGGAAGUGAAAGCCCCGGGCUCAACCUGGGAACUGCUUUCAAAACUGGCAAGCUAGAGUAUGGCAGAGGGUGGUGGAAUUUCCUGUGUAGCGGUGAAAUGCGUAGAUAUAGGAAGGAACACCAGUGGCGAAGGCGACCACCUGGGCUAAUACUGACACUGAGGUGCGAAAGCGUGGGGAGCAAAC